AGUGAACGCUGGCGGUAGGCCUAACACAUGCAAGUCGAACGGCAGCACAGUAAGGGCUUGCUCUUACGGGUGGCGAGUGGCGGACGGGUGAGGAAUACAUCGGAAUCUACUUUUUCGUGGGGGAUAACGUAGGGAAACUUACGCUAAUACCGCAUACGACCUACGGUUGAAAGCAGGGGAUCUUCGGACCUUGCGCGAUUGAAUGAGCCGAUGUCGGAGUAGCUAGUUGGCGGGGUAAAGGCCCACCAAGGCGACGAUCCGUAGCUGGUCUGAGAGGAUGAUCAGCCACACUGGAACUGAGACACGGUCCAGACUCCGACGGGAGGCAGCAGUGGGGAAUAUUGGACAAUGGGCGCAAGCCUGAUCCAGCCAUACCGCGUGGGUGAAGAAGGCCUUCGGGUUGUAAAGCCCUUUUGUUGGGAAAGAAAAGCAGCAGGUUAAUACCCCGCUGUUCUGACGGUACCCAAAGAAGAAGCACCGGCUACCUUCGU
rnacentral:rRNA from 1 species